CUAGACAGCCGUUAAACAGAGGUCAGAUGAAUGGGUGAAGGGUGGUUCAUGGGCGGCUGUAUUAUACUGGUAUGAUGGAAAGUCCAUCUGAGUGAGAAAACUACAUGAGGUGAUCAGGAAAUUGGGCUUUUCAGAAAAAAAAAAAACUUAAUUGAAGGUGAUUAUGAUCUAGCAUUUAAAUAGUAAUUGCAAAAUUAUACAAGGCAGUCCUGGGACUAUGCUUCCCAAACUAGGGUGUGCAUCAGAAAAACAGACUCACUCCCAGGCCCUGCUCUAGGGCAACAAGUCUGUGCUUUAUUACAAGCUCUAUAAAUGGCUCUUAGGCGGCCAUCAGCCCGCCCAGCACCAAGUCACAGACCAGCACCAGGAACCACUGCCCCAGACACUGUUCGUGUGUCUGUGAAAGUGACAAAAACUUCUCUGGCAGGAGCUUGAUGAUAAGGAUAAUCUUGGUAACUACAAGAGGUCCCUCUCAUAGCUCAGGGCUUCUCGGAUGUUCUCUGUCUUUCUAGCAAAGAGCUAAGAAAUAAGCUGGUUUGGGGAAAGGGGCCAGUCACUUACAGCCUGAGUUGAGCCCUCCCGCCUGGGGACAUUCAGCCCUGAGUCCCUGUGGAUCAUUGUUCCUUCACUAAGCCUCAGAUGUCAACAAAGGGACAAGGGCUAUCUCGGGCCCCUUGUGCAUCAGGAGGACAGUAAGAGGUGACCCAAGUGGAAUUAGCAUCACUGAGAUGACGUCAUUAAAACCUGUCCAAGAGCUAAUUAAAUAAGCGUCAUGGGCUCAAUCAUCAGGACUCUAAACAGAGCACAAAGAUGAAUUACAGGCCUGGUGCAGGUCUCAGAGAUGAGAGUAACAAGACUCUUAGUCCACGGACCAUAGUGUAACGAGGAUGACUAUUCGUCAUCAUCACGCGGCACAGAAACACCCGAGCCACAACCCACGGAGCUCAAGCAAAUCCUGGUCCACCUCCUUGUCUAGGGAAGUGCUUGUGUGCCAAGUCAUGAACCAGCCAGUGCAUGCUGGGGCCAAGAACAGGCAUGAACCACUCAUGAUGCACCCUCUGACAGCUCCAGCUAAAAGUCAGCCUCGACGGUGUCAGCAAGGUCGGUGCGUGUGGCUCUGUGGGUCUUUGCUUUGAGGCCGGAGCAGGUAAAGUGGUCAGAAAGGCACCACCCAAAGUUUCUCACACAUUGAUACCUAUGAAGAGUGACGGUAUUUCUGGGGCACACGGGGGCAAUCUGAGGGCAUGGGGAACAUGAGAUGAAGCACCAGGCCACGGACUCUGGCUGUCUGAAGCCCUGCACAGCCACCAGGGCUGGGGGCAGCCCAGUUCUGCAGCCCAGCGGGGUGCCAGGCGUGCCAGCUGGCGAGUUUCAGCUCAGCUGGGUUCUCCCACUGUUGGGAGCAUCAGGCCGACCACGUAACAGGUAUGUGAGCUUCAGUGAGAACCUCACCUCUCAGAACCUCAGGUUUUUCAUGCGCUCAGAGUGGAUUGGAACACAUAGCUCACCUCACAUGGUAGCUGCCGGGAACAGAUAUAUGUGAUGAAGGGAGAAAAGUGUGUGUGUGUGUGUGUGUGUGUGUGUACACAUAUAUAAAAAUAUCUAACACACUAACAUGCAGUAAAUACCCAAAUAUUAGUUACAUUUAUUUCACUCAUUAUUUACAGUACUUUAAAUUUUUGUAAAAAGCCUUAAAUUAAUUAGGGAGGGACUAUUGUCCCAUUUUUCCAAAUGCACGGGGAGGCAGGUGACUUUCCCUAAGGGACAGAGUUGAUUAGUUCCAGCUGGAAGUAAAUCCACGUCUUCUACCUCUUGGCAUCAGACUGCUUUCCGCCUGAGGCCACUGCACCCGUGGUCCCUAAACCUUAUGCCAGGUGGCUCUUUCUGCCAGGUACUCCUCUCUGUUGG
rnacentral:lncRNA from 1 species